UACAGAGGGUGCAAGCGUUGUUCGGAAUUACUGGGCGUAAAGCGUGCGUAGUCGGUAUUGAGAGUCGCGGGUGAAAUCCCAGGGCUUAACCCUGGAACUGCCUGCGAGACCUCAGUACUAGAGUGUGAGAGGGGAUAGUGGAAUACCCAGUGUAGCGGUGAAAUGCGUAGAGAUUGGGUAGAACACCGGUGGCGAAGGCGGCUAUCUGGCUCACAACUGACGAUCAGGCACGAAAGCGUGGGGAGCAAACAGG
rnacentral:rRNA from 1 species